AUGCAUCCAUGUGACAGACCUGGAGCAGUUUCUAUCUGCUCCUAAGGUUUCUGCUAGAGAUGCAAGAAAAAGCUAUCCUCGCGCUUUCUAGCUGCCUGACGGUGGCAGUCAAGAUUGAAUGGGGGAGUACAGGG
ensembl:snoRNA